rnacentral:rRNA from 1 species
AACGAACGCUGGCGGCAUGCCUAACACAUGCAAGUCGAACGAGACCUUCGGGUCUAGUGGCGCACGGGUGCGUAACGCGUGGGAACCUGCCCUUAGGUUCGGAAUAACUCCCCGAAAGGGGUGCUAAUACCGGAUAAUGUCUUCGGACCAAAGAUUUAUCGCCUUUGGAUGGGCCCGCGUUGGAUUAGCUAGUUGGUAGGGUAAAAGCCUACCAAGGCGACGAUCCAUAGCUGGUCUGAGAGGAUGAUCAGCCACACUGGGACUGGGACACGGCCCAAACUCUGAGGGAAGGGAGAAGGGGGGAAAAUGGGACAAUGGGGGAAAGCAUGAGCCAGCAAGGCCGGGUAGGGGUUGAAGGCGUUAGGAUGGUAAGGCUUUUUACCCGGGAUGAUAAUGACAGUACCGGGAGAAUAAGCUCCGGCUAACUCCGUG